rnacentral:rRNA from 1 species
AGGACGAACGCUGGCGGCGUGCUUAACACAUGCAAGUCAAGGGGGCCCCGCAAGGGGCAACCGGCGAACGGGUGCGUAACACGUGAGCGACCUGCCGAUCCGAGGGGGAUAGCCGGCCCAACGGCCGGGUAAUACCGCAUACGCUCUGAUCCCUGCAUGGGGGACCGAGGAAACUUCCGGGGCGGAUCGAGGGGCUCGCGGCCUAUCAGCUAGUUGGGGGGGUAACGCCUCCAAGGCGACGACGGGUAGCUGGUCUGAGAGGAUGGCCAGCCACAUUGGGACUGAGAGACGGCCCAGACUCCUACGGGAGCAGCAGUGGGAAUAUGCGCAAUGGCCGCAAGGCUGACGCAGCGACGCCGCGUGUGGGAUGACGUCGUUUCGGAGUAGUAAACCAUUGUUCGGACCCGGGACGAACCGUCCCGUUUUCGGACGGGACUGGACCGGUACGGGUGAGGAGCCGACCGGCUAACGUCCGUGCCGAGCACGCCGC